rnacentral:rRNA from 1 species
GACGGAGGAUGCAAGCGUUAUCCGGAAUGAUUGGGCGUAAAGCGUCCGCAGGUGGCAGUUCAAGUCUGCUGUCAAAGACCGGGGCUUAACUUCGGAAAGGCAGUGGAAACUGAACAGCUAGAGUAUGGUAGGGGCAGAGGGAAUUCCUGGUGUAGCGGUGAAAUGCGUAGAGAUCAGGAAGAACAUCGGUGGCGAAGGCGCUCUGCUGGACCAUAACUGACACUCGGGGACGAAAGCUAGGGGAGCGAACAGG